rnacentral:rRNA from 1 species
GCAAGUCGAACGAGAAAGCACUUUCGGGUGUGAGUAGAGUGGCGCACGGGUGAGUAACACGUAGGUGACCUUCCCUUCGGCGGGGGACAACUAGGAGAAAUCUUAGCUAAUACCGCAUACGUAUAACAAAUUUGAAAGUAGUUAUAGAAAGGAUGCCUCUGCAUAUGCAUUCACCGAAGGAUGGGCCUGCGGGACAUUAGCUUGAUGGUGGGGUAACGGCUUACCAUGGCAACGAUGUCUAGCGGAUUUGAGAGAAUGAUC